rnacentral:lncRNA from 1 species
GGGGGGGAGAUGGUAAACAAUUCCCAGAAAAGGAAGAAGGCUUCGCAGACAGAAACAAUCAGUGUCCACUUCUAGGGACGAGUGUUCACGUUACCAGCCAACCGCUCUGUACCAAGUGUCUGUUCUGCUCAAGCUUACAAUGGAGAGACAGGGCAAUAACUCACAAGAGAAACCCGAGACAUACGGCACAGCGAGAUUAAUCAUCAACUGAUGCAGCUAGGAAGUUUCACAAUGGAUCCAGAGAUGAUGAAUUCAUCUGAGGUCAAGAUCCUGG